rnacentral:tRNA from 1 species
GGAUGUGGCUCAAGUGGUAGGGCACUGGCCUGGCAUGCGAGAGGCACUGGGUUCGAUUCUCAGCACCA